rnacentral:rRNA from 1 species
UACGGAGGGGGCUAGCGUUGUUCGGAAUUACUGGGCGUAAAGCGCACGUAGGCGGCUAUCCAAGUCAGUGGUGAAAGCCCGGAGCUCAACUCCGGAACUGCCAUUGAAACUGUUUAGCUUGAGGAUGAGAGAGGUGAGUGGAAUUCCCAGUGUAGAGGUGAAAUUCGUAGAUAUUGGGAAGAACACCGGUGGCGAAGGCGGCUCACUGGCUCAUUACUGACGCUCAGGCGCGAUAGCGUGGGGAUCAAACAGG